rnacentral:lncRNA from 1 species
GGUUCAAAACUAAAUUAUAUAAAACUAAAUUCCAGGAUCUUAUUAGUUUUUCCCUGAAAAUCUGGAUUCACGUAUUGGUUGUUUUCAAUUGUAUUAAUUUCCUUAACUGUUGCUGUUUUUACUAAGUUGAUUUUUUAUUCAAAGAAACCUCUCACUGAUAUAUUUCUUCAUAUAAUUCUUUCUGACUCGAGGAGUGUAGGCAUCGUGAGUCAGUGGAGCCACCAGGCUGUGGCUUAACACGUCACCGCUUUUUAAGUAGUCUCGUGUUUAGGUACGAGGUCCUCGUUUCAUGUCUGACUUAAAUAAUUUAAUGAUCACUCUGUUUGACAUGGAUGAGUCUAAUGAGCUGUAAUAAUGUUCUAUGUCACUGGGUAGUACAUCCUGUCAUGUACCUUCCACCAACUUUGAUGGCCCCCCUCCCUUUGCCUCUGAAAGGACAUUUAGGGUAGGUCAAACUAUUUUGUAUAUUUGGGCUUGAAAGGGUUCUGAGAAUGACAUAUUCCCCAGAGAGUUUCUAAACUGCAGUAAAAUGAUUUGCUGUCCUUGGUUCUCUCAGCUACACAUGCUGCCUUUCAUAUCAGACUUUUGAUUUUGAGCAUUUCAAAAAUGUCUUGAUGGUCAACUUAAAGGUUUUCCUUUUGCUACCUACCGGACU